UUGCCAGACUCCUACGGGAGGCAGCAGUGGGGGAUAUUGCACAAUGGAGGAAACUCUGAUGCAGCGACGCCGCGUGAGGGAAGACGGUCUUCGGAUUGUAAACCUCUGUCUUUGGGGAAGAAAAUGACGGUACCUGAAGAAGAAGCCCCGGCUAACUACGUGCCAGCAGCCGCGGUAAUACGUAGGGGGCAAGCGUUAUCCGGAUUUACUGGGUGUAAAGGGGGCGCAGACGGCGAUGCAAGCCAGGAGUGAAAGCCCGGGGCCCAACCCCGGGACUGCUCUUGGAACUGCGUGGCUGGAGUGCAGGAGGGGCAGGCGGAAUUCCUGGUGUAGCGGUGAAAUGCGUAGAUAUCAGGAGGAACACCGGUGGCGAAGGCGGCCUGCUGGACUGCAACUGACGUUGAGGCCCGAAAGCGUGGGGAGCAAACAGGAUUAGAUACCCCAGUAC
rnacentral:rRNA from 1 species